CGCUGGCGGCGUGCCUAAUACAUGCAAGUCGAACGAGUUCUCGUUGAAGCUCGGUGCUUGCACCGAGAUUCAACAUGGAACGAGUGGCGGACGGGUGAGUAACACGUGGGUAACCUGCCCUUAAGUGGGGGAUAACAUUUGGAAACAGAUGCUAAUACCGCAUAGAUCCAAGAACCGCAUGGUUCUUGGCUGAAAGAUGGCGUAAGCUAUCGCUUUUGGAUGGACCCGCGGCGUAUUAGCUAGUUGGUGAGGUAAUGGCUCACCAAGGCGAUGAUACGUAGCCGAACUGAGAGGUUGAUCGGCCACAUUGGGACUGAGACACGGCCCAAACUCCUACGGGAGGCAGCAGUAGGGAAUCUUCCACAAUGGACGCAAGUCUGAUGGAGCAACGCCGCGUGAGUGAAGAAGGCUUUCGGGUCGUAAAACUCUGUUGUUGGAGAAGAAUGGUCGGCAGAGUAACUGUUGUCGGCGUGACGGUAUCCAACCAGAAAGCCACGGCUAACUACGUGCCAGCAGCCGCGGUAAUACGUAGGUGGCAAGCGUUAUCCGGAUUUAUUGGGCGUAAAGCGAGCGCAGGCGGUUUUUUAAGUCUGAUGUGAAAGCCCUCGGCUUAACCGAGGAAGCGCAUCGGAAACUGGGAAACUUGAGUGCAGAAGAGGACAGUGGAACUCCAUGUGUAGCGGUGAAAUGCGUAGAUAUAUGGAAGAACACCAGUGGCGAAGGCGGCUGUCUGGUCUGUAACUGACGCUGAGGCUCGAAAGCAUGGGUAGCGAACAGGAUUAGAUACCCUGGUAGUCCAUGCCGUAAACGAUGAAUGCUAGGUGUUGGAGGGUUUCCGCCCUUCAGUGCCGCAGCUAACGCAUUAAGCAUUCCGCCUGGGGAGUACGACCGCAAGGUUGAAACUCAAAGGAAUUGACGGGGGCCCGCACAAGCGGUGGAGCAUGUGGUUUAAUUCGAAGCAACGCGAAGAACCUUACCAGGUCUUGACAUCUUUUGAUCACCUGAGAGAUCAGGUUUCCCCUUCGGGGGCAAAAUGACAGGUGGUGCAUGGUUGUCGUCAGCUCGUGUCGUGAGAUGUUGGGUUAAGUCCCGCAACGAGCGCAACCCUUAUGACUAGUUGCCAGCAUUUAGUUGGGCACUCUAGUAAGACUGCCGGUGACAAACCGGAGGAAGGUGGGGAUGACGUCAAAUCAUCAUGCCCCUUAUGACCUGGGCUACACACGUGCUACAAUGGAUGGUACAACGAGUUGCGAGACCGCGAGGUCAAGCUAAUCUCUUAAAGCCAUUCUCAGUUCGGACUGUAGGCUGCAACUCGCCUACACGAAGUCGGAAUCGCUAGUAAUCGCGGAUCAGCACGCCGCGGUGAAUACGUUCCCGGGCCUUGUACACACCGCCCGUCACACCAUGAGAGUUUGUAACACCCGAAGCCGGUGGCGUAACCCUUUUAGGGAGCGAGCCGUCUAAGGUGGGACAAAUGAUUA
rnacentral:rRNA from 2 species